UACAGAGGUCCCAAGCGUUGUUCGGAUUCACUGGGCGUAAAGGGUGCGUAGGUGGUGGGGUAAGUCGGAUGUGAAAGCUCGGAGCUCAACUCCGAAAUGGCAUUGGAAACUACCCUGCUAGAGGAUUGGAGGGGGGACUGGAAUACUUGGUGUAGCAGUGAAAUGCGUAGAUAUCAGGAAGAACACCCGUGGCGAAGGCGGUUCUCUGGAACGCAACUGACGCUGAGACGCGAAAGCGUGGGGAGCAAACAGG
rnacentral:rRNA from 1 species